AUGUCAGUGGAAUGGAAAGGUGGUGAGUUUAGCUUAGAACACAAGCGCGAAGGAGGUGGUCCUAGCUUCAGCAGGAUCUCUGGAUUCUGCGGGAGUUCUGGAUUAGGUGGUGGUGCUAGUGGAGGCUUCUGCAGUAUGGCAGUUGUACGGGAGGUGGUGGUGGCAACGGAGGGCUUUUUCCUGGAGGGGAGAAGCAAACCAUGCAGAACCUCGGUGACGGCCUAGCCAAUUACCUAGACAAUGUCAGAGCCCUGGAGGAGGCCAACACAAAAUCAAGAAGUGGUGUGACAAAUUUGGGCCUGGGUCUGGAGACGGUGGAUCUAGAAGAGAUUGCAGUAAAUACUAUCCAAUAAUUGAAGAUCCCAGGAACCAGAUCAUUGCAGCCACGAUUAAUAAUGCCAGCAUGACUUCCCCAAUUGACAAAGCUGGACUUGCAGCAGAUGACUUCAAAAUGAAGUAUGAAAACAAGCUCUGUCUAUGCCAGUCGGUUGAAGCCUAUGUAAAUGGCCCGCAAAAAGUACUCAAUGAGCUGAAUGUGACCACAUGAGACCUUAAAAUACAGUCGGAAAGCCUAGCAGAAGACCUGCCUUAUCUCAAGAACAACCCCAAGGAGAAAGGAGCACUUUGCAGAGACAGUCCAGUGGGGACGCUGACUGUAGAAAUGAACUCGGCCCCAGGGGCAGAUCUAACCAAGCGGCUGGACUGCAUGAGGCAAUAGUAAGAGGAACUGGCUGAGCAAAACCUUAGGGAGGCCGAGGACUGAUUCAACAAGCAAAGUGCAUCCCUGCAGACACAGAUCUCCACGGAUGCUGAAGCAGUUAGCUCGGCCAAGAGUGAGAUAAUGGAGCUGAAACGAGUUCUCCAGUCCCUGCACUAUGAACUGCAGUCUGUCUUGGCCAUGCAAAGCUCCCUAGAAGGAACCCUGGCUGACACAGAAGUUGGCUACUUGGCUCAGCUGUCAGAAACUAAGAUGCAUAUCAGCAUCCUGAAGGAGCAGAUCUGCCAGAUCUGGGGCGAGACUGAAUACCAGAACACAGAGUAUGCGCAACUGCUGGACAUCAAGACACACCCGGAGGUGGAGAUCGAGACCUACCACCGCUUGCUCGGUGGAGAGGGAGGUUCCGAGGCCAGAGAAGCUGCAUCUCAAGGAUCAUUCUCUGUGGACUCCAGAGGAAGAAUCAGCACAGCUCAGUCAAGGGGAAGAGUCGCUUUUUAAAAUUCACAUAAAAGCAGAGGAACCAGGUUGGUGACGGAUAAUGACCAACUAAUUUCAUCUCAAGUCAACAAUGUUUCUGAUGUGAAAUUCAAGAGUGAGAUGCAGGCAGCUGAGUCCUGUCCCCAGGAUGUAAAUGAUGACACCUAACAAAGGCGUGGUGAAGCACCGCAGCAAACCUACAGCCACAGAGCUGCAGCUACUCCUGUAAUUGUUUUUCAGAUUCUUUUGUCUUAUUGGUUUGGUUUUGUCUUUAAAUUGCAAAAUGUGUUUUCCUUCUUAAUCAUUCUGUGUCAAUAAACUUUCUUCCUGUUGCAAAUCAAC